UUCUUUUCCUCCGUAAAUGCGUUGCAAUUUUAGGGAUUUGCCCAAGAUUAGGUGGAACCUUUGAUUUGCUUGGUUUGGAUCUUUGUUUGCCCAAGAUUAGGUGGAACCUUUGAUCCCCCACACACACACACACACACACACACAAUAUGAUUCUUGUUAGUGAAACCUAGAUUGUAAUUUUUUUAGGUAUAUAUGAGAUGCCUAGUUUUGUAGAUAAUUAUGAGAUGUUGAGUUUUGUAGCUAUAUGUGAGAUGUUGAGUUUUUUUAGAUAUAUAUGAAAUGUUUAGUUUAUUUGAAAUAUGAGAUGUUGAUUUACUUGAACACAUAUGACAUACUAGAUAUAUAUGAUAAUUUACAAUCAUUUAUUCAUUGUGUGAGAAGGAGAUGUUGAGAUUCUUGUAGAUGAAUACAUAUGAGAUGUUUAGAUGAACACAUAUGAAAUGUUGAGUGUUUACCGAUAUUUGAGAUGAACUCAUAUAUGUUUAUUGUUUGUAAUUUGUAAGGAUGGUUUGGCUUCUCGACGAUGUCUACGACACGAAACACCGGGCCUACAUGAUGCGCGAGAAGGAGAUGAAGCUUGAACCUUUGAAGAUUCGGUAUCACGGGGUCUCUGGUCCUGCCAUGCCUUACGAUGAGCGGUACACACCGUACAUCAAGCAGGCAGGACUACUCCCGUGGAUUCAGUUGGUCAGCCGGUCCACGCCGAAUCUGAACGCUCCACUGGUGUCCGCUCUUGCUGAUCGGUGGAGGCCGGAGACGCAUAGUUUCCAUCUUCGGACUGGGGAGAUGACCGUGACGCUCGAGGAUGUCUCGUUGAUCACCGGUCUUGCUAUCGACGGGAUGCCUCUCUGUAUGAGCACCGAUUCUGAUGGGUGGCGCGAGCAGAUGAUUGCUCUUAUCGGUAUGGCUCCUACUGAGGCUGAGGCUGAUGUAGAGGAGGGAGAAGAGAAGAAGAAGAGGGAAAGGAAAGCAGCCGGAGCUGCUUUCACGUGGAUUCAAACUCACUUUGCGACGUGCCCUCCGGAUGCCACUGAUGAUGUGAUCCAGACACAUGCUCGUGUCUACAUGUGGUAUGUUGUGUCGAGGACUUUGUUUCCUGACUCCACUGGCAAGAACGCUCCAUGGAUGUGGCUGAAGGCGUUGACCGUCUUCGAUAGCAAAUGGAGCUGGGGUUCAGCGACUCUUGCCUACUUGUACCGACAGGUAGUUGGUCUGUUUUGUGAUCAACUCAUUUCUUCAUUAGCAAUGCAAGCUUGCUGUCAAGUUAACAUUGUUUUUCUUUCAUAUGCAGCUGGACGAUGCGUGUUGCAGGAUCACAGAUAGUGCAGGCAUUGGUGGUAAUAUGCUGCUACUUUCUGUAUGGAGCUGGGAGCGUCUGCCUGUUGGACGCCCGAAGAGCGUCAGGUUUAAUCCUUGGUAUGAAGAUGAACAUGACGAAUUACGGCGCCCCACUUGGGCUUACAAGUGGGAUGUGGUUUCCGAGAUGACGAACGAUGUCAAUCUCAUGUACCAGAAGUACGUUGCCGAGUUGGACACGAUUACGCCUGAGCAGGUGGAAUGGCAGCCAUAUGGCGCGGAUGACAGACUUGGGUACACCCCGGAGUUUAGCAUCAACCCGAUGUGCUUGCGGG